rnacentral:lncRNA from 1 species
CUGAUUUGGUUGGCUACUCCACUCAUCUCUCCCUUCCUCUCCUUGUAUUAUGAUGGAGAUGCCAUUUCGUUGGAAUGCAGAAAGACUACAUGUCAGCUCAUUCAGAGAUCUAAAGGGGAAAGCAAGAUUGGGAACCACUGGCCUGCAGCUCUCUCUCAAGUGAAAAGCAACAUCAAGUCACAGGAUGCUGCAGGGAGGAAAAGUAUUGGUCAAGGACAUGAAAAAUCACCGUCCAGUCUCUAGUGCAUUGUUCAUCCUAUUAAUAAACAUCUGGCAAACACAAGACACGAGUGACAAAAUUAUUCAGACUGAAUAUGGAAUAAGACUAAUCGUUACUUGUAAAAAUCCUG